rnacentral:misc_RNA from 1 species
UUUCCGUAGGUGAACCUGCGGAAGGAUCAUUAUCGAGUUUUGACUGGGUUGUAGCUGGCCUUCCGAGGCAUGUGCACGCCCUGCUCAUCCACUCUACACCUGUGCACUUACUGUGGGUAUCAGAUCGCGAAGCGUGCUCUUUUACCGGAGCUUGUGAAUCGUGUCUUAUGUCUAAAUUUAUGAUUAAACAAUCAAAACAAAACUUUCAACAACGGAUCUCUUGGUUCUG